rnacentral:rRNA from 1 species
GAUGGACGCUGGCGGCGUGCCUAACACAUGCAAGUCGAACGGACAUUUUUGGAAAGUUCUUCGGAACUGGAAUCUAAAUGUUAGUGGCGGACGGGUGAGUAACGCGUGAGCAAUCUGCCUUUCAGAGGGGGAUAACAGCCGGAAACGGCUGCUAAUACCGCAUGACGCAUGACCGGGGCAUCCCGGGCAUGUCAAAGAUUUUAUCGCUGGAAGAUGGCCUCGCGUCUGAUUAGCUAGUUGGCGGGGUAACGGCCCACCAAGGCGACGAUCAGUAGCCGGACUGAGAGGUUGACCGGCCACAUUGGGACUGAGAUACGGCCCAG